rnacentral:rRNA from 1 species
UGCAAGUCGAGCGGCAGCGGGGGGAAGCUUGCUUCCCCGCCGGCGAGCGGCGGACGGGUGAGUAAUGUCUGGGAAACUGCCUGAUGGAGGGGGAUAACUACUGGAAACGGUAGCUAAUACCGCAUAACGUCUUCGGACCAAAGUGGGGGACCUUCGGGCCUCAUGCCAUCAGAUGUGCCCAGAUGGGAUUAGCUUGUUGGUGGGGUAACGGCUCACCAAGGCGACGAUCCCUAGCUGGUCUGAGAGGAUGACCAGCCACACUGGAACUGAGACACGGUCCAGACUCCUACGGGAGGCAGCAGUGGGGAAUAUUGCACAAUGGGCGCAAGCCUGAUGCAGCCAUGCCGCGUGUAUGAAGAAGGCCUUCGGGUUGUAAAGUACUUUCAGCGGGGAGGAAGGUGUUGCGGUUAAUAACCACAGCAAUUGACGUUACCCGCAGAAGAAGCACCGGCUAACUCCGUGCCAGCAGCCGCGGUAAUACGGAGGGUGCAAGCGUUAAUCGGAAUUACUGGGCGUAAAGCGCACGCAGGCGGUCUGUCAAGUCGGAUGUGAAAUCCCCGGGCUCAACCUGGGAACUGCAUCCGAAACUGGCAGGCUUGAGUCUUGUAGAGGGGGGUAGAAUUCCAGGUGUAGCGGUGAAAUGCGUAGAGAUCUGGAGGAAUACCGGUGGCGAAGGCGGCCCCCUGGACAAAGACUGACGCUCAGGUGCGAAAGCGUGGGGAGCAAACAGGAUUAGAUACCCUGGUAGUCCACGCCGUAAACGAUGUCGACUUGGAGGUUGUGCCCUUGAGGCGUGGCUUCCGGAGCUAACGCGUUAAGUCGACCGCCUGGGGAGUACGGCCGCAAGGUUAAAACUCAAAUGAAUUGACGGGGGCCCGCACAAGCGGUGGAGCAUGUGGUUUAAUUCGAUGCAACGCGAAGAACCUUACCUGGUCUUGACAUCCACGGAAGUUUUCAGAGAUGAGAAUGUGCCUUCGGGAACCGUGAGACAGGUGCUGCAUGGCUGUCUUCAGCUCGUGUUGU